CACGAUGCACGUUUGAAAGCGCUAGUUCAUGAUAUUUAACUUGUCUUAAAGAUUCUUAUAAUUUUCAAAAAAGCUUUUCAACCUGUGCCAGUCCACCAUGAAUUUCUCUCUUCAAAUGUUGGUAAACCUGUACCAGUCCACCAUGAAUUUCUG